AUGGCCAUAGAUCGGAACGGUCUCCUCGCCUCUUUGACUUCGAGGGGCGACUCCGAUGGCUUCUUCGACAACUGGAAGAUUCUGGCCUUGUUCACCUUCCUCGCCCUCUUGGUUUUCGGCUCCGGUUGCAUGCUAGCUCACGGCCUCCAGUUUGUUGGGAGGAUCAAGUUCUCCAUGGAACCCGUCGUCUACGCCGGGUUCGGGCCCGACUUCGCCGCCAAUGCCACCACGCCGCCGUCCUUCAACGUCACUCUGCACGCCAAGAGCACGUAUCGGCGCACGUUCUGCUGGGGCGACGACACCGGCGGGGGCGCGACGGUGGAAGUGGUCUACUCCGGCGUGGUUAUUGCCAAGGCGGACGUCGCACCCUUCUGCGUUCGGGGGAAGGGGGACACCGUGAUCGCCGCGACUGUCACCGCCGGGUGGCCGGCUCUGCCCAGAGAUUUCCGCGAGCGCAUCGAGGGCGACCGACGGCACGGCGGAGUGGAUGUGGAGGUGGACCUCAGCUUCGACUGGAUGUGGGUGCGUUGCCGCACCACGUUGGAUGCAAAGCACGCCUCUCCUACUCCCUGCCAAUAUUUCAGUUUUAUUCCACCAGUGAGUUCUGCAGCUAUGUAA
rnacentral:rRNA from 1 species